UUGCAAGUUCGAGCGGUAAGGCCCUUCGGGGUACACGAGCGGCGAACGGGUGAGUAACAAGUGAGCAACCUGCCCCUGACUCUGGGAUAAGCGGUGGAAACCCCGUCUAAUACCGGAUACGACCCGCCCCUGCCUGGGGUGCGGGUGGAAAGUUUUUUCGGUUGGGGAUGGGCUCGCGGCCUAUCAGCUUGUUGGUGGGGUAAAGGCCUACCAAGGCGAUUACGGGUAGCCGGCCUGAGAGGGCGACCGGCCACACUGGGACUGAGACACGGCCCAGACUCCUGCGGGAGGCAGCAGUGGGGAAUCUUGCGCAAUGGGCGAAAGCCUGACGCAGCGACGCCGCGUGGGGGAUGACGGCCUUCGGGUUGUAAACCUCUUUUACCACUCACGCAGGCUCCGGGUUCUCCCGGGGUUGACGGUAGGUGGGGAAUAAGGACCGGCUAACUACGUGCCAGCAGCCGCGGUAAUACGUAGGGUCCGAGCGUUGUCCGGAAUUAUUGGGCGUAAAGAGCUCGUAGGCGGUGUGUCGCGUCUGCUGUGAAAGACCGGGGCUUAACUCCGGUUUUGCAGUGGAUACGGGCAUGCUAGAGGUAGGUAGGGGAGACUGGAAUUCCUGGUGUAGCGGUGAAAUGCGCAGAUAUCAGGAGGAACACCGGUGGCGAAGGCGGGUCUCUGGGCCUUACCUGACGCUGAGGAGCGAAAGCGUGGGGAGCGAACAGGAUUAGAUACCCUGGUAGUCCACGCCGUAAACGUUGGGCGCUAGGUGUGGGGGCUUUCCACGGUUCCCGUGCCGCAGCUAACGCAUUAAGCGCCCCGCCUGGGGAGUACGGCCGCAAGGCUAAAACUCAAAGGAAUUGACGGGGGCCCGCACAAGCGGCGGAGCAUGUUGCUUAAUUCGACGCAACGCGAAGAACCUUACCAAGGUUUGACAUCACCGGUAAACCAUCGGA
rnacentral:rRNA from 1 species